CCUACGGGAGGCAGCAGUGGGGAAUUUUGGACAAUGGGCGCAAGCCUGAUCCAGCAAUGCCGCGUGAGUGAAGAAGGCCUUCGGGUUGUAAAGCUCUUUUGUCAGGGAAGAAACGGUGGAGGCUAAUAUCCUUUGCUAAUGACGGUACCUGAAGAAUAAGCACCGGCUAACUACGUGCCAGCAGCCGCGGUAAUACGUAGGGUGCAAGCGUUAAUCGGAAUUACUGGGCGUAAAGCGUGCGCAGGCGGUUUUAUAAGUUUGUCGUGAAAUCCCCGGGCUCAACCUGGGAAUGGCGAUGAAGACUGCAAGGCUAGAAUCUGGCAGAGGGGGGUAGAAUUCCACGUGUAGCAGUGAAAUGCGUAGAGAUGUGGAGGAACACCGAUGGCGAAGGCAGCCCCCUGGGUCAAGAUUGACGCUCAUGCACGAAAGCGUGGGGAGCAAACAGGAUUAGAUACCCUGGUAGUCCACGCCCUAAACGAUGUCUACUAGUUGUCGGGUUUUAAUUAACUUGGUAACGCAGCUAACGCGUGAAGUAGACCGCCUGGGGAGUACGGUCGCAAGAUUAAAACUCAAAUGAAUUGACGG
rnacentral:rRNA from 1 species